UACGGAGGGUGCAAGCGUUAUCCGGAUUCACUGGGUUUAAAGGGUGCGUAGGUGGGCAGGUAAGUCAGUGGUGAAAUCUCCGGGCUUAACCCGGAACUGCCGUUGAUACUAUUUGUCUUGAAUAUAGUGGAGGUGAGCGGAAUAUGUCAUGUAGCGGUGAAAUGCUUAGAUAUGACAUAGAACACCGAUAGCGGAGGCAGCUUGCUACACAGUCAUUGACACUGAGGCACGAAAGCGUGGGGAUCAAACAGG
rnacentral:rRNA from 1 species